GAUGAACGCUGGCGGCGUGCCUAAUACAUGCAAGUCGAGCGAACAGACGAGGAGCUUGCUCCUCUGACGUCAGCGGCGGACGGGUGAGUAACACGUGGAUAACCUACCUAUAAGACUGGGAUAACUUCGGGAAACCGGAGCUUAUACCGGAUAAUAUAUUGAACCGCAUGGUUCAAUAGUGAAAGACGGUUUUGCUGUCACUUAUAGAUGGAUCCGCGCCGCAUUAGCUAGUUGGUAAGGUAACGGCUUACCAAGGCAACGAUGCGUAGCCGACCUGAGAGGGUGAUUGGCCACACUGGAACUGAGACACGGUCCAGACUCCUACGGGAGGCAGCAGUAGGGAAUCUUCCGCAAUGGGCGAAAGCGUGACGGAGCAACGCCGCGUGAGUGAUGAAGGUCUUCGGAUCGUAAAACUCUGUUAUUAGGGAAGAACAAAUGUGUAAGUAACUAUGCACGUCUUGACGGUACCUAAUCAGAAAGCCACGGCUAACUACGUG
rnacentral:rRNA from 1 species